UACGGAGGAGGCAAGCGUUAUCCGGAAUUAUUGGGCGUAAAGCGUCCGUGGGUGGAUGACCAAGUCUGCUGUCAAAGGGUGGGGCUUAACCUCAUAAAGGCAGUGGAAACUGGUGAGCUAGAGUGCGGUAGGGGUAAGGGGAAUUCCCAGUGUAGCGGUGAAAUGCGUAGAGAUUGGGAAGAACAUCGGUGGCGAAAGCGCCUUGCUGGGCCUGCACUGACACUGAGGGACGAAAGCUAGGGAGCGAAAGGG
rnacentral:rRNA from 1 species